UUUAAAUGUAAUAAUAAUUUAUAUUAGUAUUAGUUAUGAUCUUGAAAGUAAAAAAAUUUGGCGGUAAUUUAGUCUUUUUAGAGGAACCUGUUCUAUAAUUGAUAAUCCACGAUAAAAUUUACUUAUUUUAAAUUUGUAUAUCAUUGUAUUAGAAUAUUUUUAAAAAAUUAAAAUAUUCAAUUUAUUAAAUUUAAUAAAAAUUCAAAUCAUGGUGCAGUUUAUAAAUAAGAAGAAAUGGGUUACAUUAAUAAAUAUUAGAUUAUUUAUUUUAAAUAAAUAUGAAAAUGGAUUUAAAAGUAAUUUUAUUUAUUUUAAUAAAAUGAUUAUAGCUCUAGAUUAUGU
rnacentral:rRNA from 1 species